UGUGGCUGGCGGGAGUCCAGUGACGCAAGUGACGUGGCUGCGCAACGGGCGUCCAGUGGCGGGCGACGCGCGGUUCGACCUGUCGCGGCGGGACACGCUGAGCGUGCGUCCGGUGCUGAAGGACGACCACGGCAUGACUGUACCAGUGCUUCGUGUCCAACGAGUGGGAGCAGGCGCAGGCGACGGCGCAGCUGCUGCUCGGCGACGCCAGUCCGGAGCUCGUCUACUGGUUCUCCGAGCAGACUCUGCAGCCAGGGCCCGCCGUCUCGCUCAAGUGCGUCGCCACCGGCAACCCGCCGCCCCAGUUCGUCUGGACGCUCGACGGAUUCCCUGUACCUGACAAUAAAAGAUUUCUCGUGGGUCAGUACGUGACUGUGCACGACGACGUGAACAUCUCGAGCCUGCGCGAGGAGGACGGCGGCGAGUACACUUGCACGGCGCGCAACGCGGUGGCGCAGGUGUCGCACAGCAAUCAUCGAGGGCGGCCUUCCGCUGACGUUCAGGUGGGAACGCAACGGGCAGCCGCUGCCGUCGCCCGCCGCCUCGACGAAUACUCGGCCUCGCUCGUCAUCGAACACAUCUCGUCAGCCCACAGUGGCGACUACACCUGCAUCGCCCAGAACGUCGCUGGCACCGUCACCUUCACCGUUCCCCUCACCGUCAAUGUUCCACCGCGGUGGGUGAUCGAGCCGAGCGACGCGAGCGUGGCCUCCGGACACGACACGUGGUGUUGCACUGCCAGGCCGACGGCUACCCUGUGCCCAACGUGACCUGGCGUCGGGCGGACGGAAACGCUCCUGGCGAGUACAAGGGCCAGGUGCGCACCUCCAGCGGCUACUCCAGCCACACUGACGAGACCACCUUCAGUGGUCUGGCGUCGAAGCGAGCGUCGGCGUGCGAGCGGGUGCAGCAGCCAGGCCGCCCCUCCGAUUCGCACCACGAGCUGAGCGAGGCCGAGUGCGACCGCGGCCGCAAGCCUCGCCUCUCGCGCACCGCAGGGACACC